rnacentral:rRNA from 1 species
UAUCGCUUCAAGAUGGCCUCGCGUCUGAUUAGCUGGUUGGCGGGGUAACGGCCCACCAAGGCGACGAUCAGUAGCCGGACUGAGAGGUUGAACGGCCACAUUGGAACUGAGACACGGUCCAGACUCCUACGGGAGGCAGCAGUGGGGAAUCUUCCGCAAUGGACGAAAGUCUGACGGAGCAACGCCGCGUGAACGAUGAAGGUCUUCGGAUUGUAAAGUUCUGUGAUCCGGGACGAAGGCAUUGACUGAGAACAUUGAUUGAUGUUGACGGUACCGGAAAAGCAAGCCACGGCUAACUACGUGCCAGCAGCCGCGGUAAUACGUAGGUGGCAAGCGUUGUCCGGAAUUAUUGGGCGUAAAGCGCGCGCAGGCGGCCGUGCAAGUCCUUCUUAAAAGCGUGGGGCUUAACCCCAUGAGGGGAUGGAAACUGCAGGGCUGGAGUGUCGGAGGGGAAAGUGGAAUUCCUAGUGUAGCGGUGAAAUGCGUAGAGAUUAGGAAGAACACCGGUGGCGAAGGCGACUUUCUAGACGACAACUGACGCUGAGGCGCGAAAGCGUGGGGAGCAGACAGGAUUAGAUACCCUGGUAGUCCACGCCGUAAACGAUGAGCACUAGGUGUCGGGGUCGCAAGACUUCGGUGCCGGAGUUAACGCAUUAAGUGCUCCGCCUGGGGAGUACGCACGCAAGUGUAAAACUCAAAGGAAUUGACGGGGACCCGCACAAGCAGCGGAGCAUGUGGUUUAAUUCGAUGCAACGCGAAGAACCUUACCAGGCCUUGACAUGGGGAGGAAGCCGGUGGAGACACUGGUGCCGGUUUACCGGCCUCCUACACAGGUGGUGCAUGGUUGUCGUCAGCUCGUGUCGUGAGAUGUUGGGUUAAGUCCCGCAACGAGCGCAACCCUCAUUCCUGGUUGCCAGCGGUAGAAGCCGGGCACUCCAGGGAGACCGCCGCAGCCAAUGCGGAGGAAGGCGGGGACGACGUCAAAUCAUCAUGCCCCUUACGGCCUGGGCGACACACGUGCUACAAUGGCCGGUCCAGAGGGAAGCGACAGGGCGACCUUGAGCCAAUCCCAAAAAGCCGGUCCCAGUUCGGAUUGCAGGCUGCAACCCGCCUGCAUGAAGUCGGAGUUGCUAGUAAUCGCGGAUCAGCAUGCCGCGGUGAAUGCGUUCCCGGGUCUUGCACUCACGCCCGUCA